AAAAGAAAACAAAGAACCAAAAGGUUUUCACAAGUCAAAGAACUCUUCGUCUGCAUCAGCAAGCAUAGAGGGAGGUUCAGAGAGUAAAAUGGAUAUGUUUGACUCUUCACAGAGUGGAUUCCAACAGCAAAUGAUUUUCAGCUUUUAAAACCAAUCAGCAGAGGAUCAUUUGGGAAAGUUUUUCUUGGCUGCAAAAAGUCUGACCCAGACAAACUGUAUACAAUCAAAGUGAUGAAGAAGGCAGACCUGAUAAAUAAGAACCUUAUUGCACAAGUGACAACAGAAAGAGAUGCUUUGGCAAUGAUUCACAGCCCUUUUGUGGUGGAGCUAUACUAUUCCAUACAGUCAGAACAAAAUAUUUACUUGGUAAUGGAGUACUUGGUAGGAGGAGAUGUGAAGAGUCUGCUAGCUGUCUAUGGAUACCUGGGAGAACAAGUGUCAUGCAUGUAUGCAGCAGAAGUGGUCCUUGCACUGGAGCACCUGCACAGACUUGGUAUUAUUCAUAGGCCCUGCUGUUGACUGAUGGGCUAUGGGAGUACGUUUUGAGUUUUUGACAGGACUUCCACCCUUCAAUGAUGAGACUCCAGAGCUAGUGUUUGCCAACAUUCUCAACAGAAGUUUGUCUGCUUUCAGCAUUCUUACUUUUAGAAAUGCAAUUUCCUGGCCUAACAUCAUGGACGCGCUGGGUGUGGAGGCGCAGGAAGCCAUCAACCUGCUACUCACCAUGGACCCUCAGCAACUGCCAGGUGCUGUUGAAGUUAAAGCAAUGGCCAUUUUCUUCAACCUGGAUUGGGACAGAAUACUGGAAACAGAGCCUGCUUUUAUUCCACACCCUGACAAUGACAUGGACACGUCAUACUUUGACCCAAAAAACACAUUGCAGCAAUUAAAAAUAUCUGCAGUUGAUCUGUGAUCCAUCGCUUGGUUUAAAUGCCACAAAACGAAAGUCAUCUUUUCUAGUCAUUUGCAAGAAUGGUUUGUCACAAACACAAGCCUUCUAGUGUGUUUACUGAAAAUGGAAAGAAGCACUGGGAUUGCAGUCUGGUGAAGCAGCUGUGUUCCUGGGAUUGCAAAGUCACUUUUUUUAGCAUCAGGAGAUGCUGGUCAGCUUUCAAAGAAGUUUACGUUAAUACCUGGAGCAUUAUUUGUCAACUCACUAAAUUGUGAAUUCUCUAAGAUACCAUUUCCAUUUUGAAAAGAAAACUGCUGAGAAAUACAUUUGAACAUUUUUUUUUUUUCGUAACACUUACUUAUUUUGGACCCUUUCAAGAUGAACUAUUUUUUGUUGUGUUUUUCUGUUUUAUUUUAAAGGGAAUAUUUUUGAAUGAAUAUCUGGCACCUAGAGCACCAAGUCGGUGGCGCAACGGUUAGUGCUGUUAGCGCCUGUCACCAAUACAGUGAAGGUUGGCUGCCCUGAGUUCAUUUCUCGUCUCGGGCACGCUGUUCUUUCUCUGCACGUGGCAUCUGUUUACAGGGCUGG
rnacentral:misc_RNA from 1 species